GACAGAGGGUGCAAGCGUUAUCCGGAAUGAUUGGGCGUAAAGCGUCUGUAGGUGGCUUUUUAAGUCCGCCGUCAAAUCCCAGGGCUCAACCCUGGACAGGCGGUGGAAACUACCAAGCUGGAGUACGGUAGGGGCAGAGGGAAUUCCUGGUGUAGCGGUGAAAUGCGCAGAUAUCAGGAGGAACACCAAUGGCGAAGGCAGCUCGCUGGGACGGUACUGACGCUGAGACGCGAAAGCGUGGGGAGCAAACAGG
rnacentral:rRNA from 1 species